AUCCAAUUGAAGAUUCCAAAACAGGACGAGGCGCGCGUCCUGGAU
rfam:Schistosoma haematobium scaffold62_6, whole genome shotgun sequence.